rnacentral:rRNA from 1 species
UACGUAGGGAGCAAGCGUUGUCCGGAAUCAUUGGGCGUAAAGCGCGCGUAGGUGGCUUCGUAAGUCCGUUGUGAAAGUCAAAGGCUCAACCUUUGAAAGCCGAUGGAUACUGCGGAGCUAGAGUACGGAAGAGGCGAGUGGAAUUCCUGGUGUAGCGGUGGAAUGCGCAGAUAUCGCUUGGAACGCCAAAGGUGAAAACAGGUUGCUGGGGUUGUGCCGACGCUGAGACACGAAAGCCAGGGGAGCAAACGGGG